rnacentral:misc_RNA from 1 species
CAUGCUAUACACAGGGUAUCCAUCCACCUGAAGCGUACAGAAAUCUAGGGCUCAAAACCAGUGCCAAAGUUCUAUCAUAAUGCAAAGUUUCUUCUUAGUCAAAUCAUCAGUUGUUCAUAAAGCUUUAUGUAUAUUUGUACGAUAAUAAUUAGCAUACGAGCGCAUGCGCACACACACACGCACAGAGAGAGAGAGAGAGAAGCAAUAAUCGAAAUAGAAUGAGAAAUGGAUAUUUCAA